AUUUGAUGAUGUGGACAUUGUAUUUGUAACUUCCCAAAUCUUUCUCAAGCUUCUAAGAAUUCCUCCAUAUGCUUUUGUCUAAAAGUUUGGAUUUGGUUUCUUAACUC
rnacentral:snoRNA from 1 species